rnacentral:rRNA from 1 species
UUCAACGGCCGCGGUAUUCUAACCGUGCAAAGGUAGCGUAAUCACUUGUCUUCUAAAUAGAGACUAGUAUGAACGGCUAAAUGAGAGCAAGCCUGUCUCUUAUAACCAAUCAGUGAAACUGAUCUUCCAGUACAAAAGCUGGAAUUAAAACAUAAGACGAGAAGACCCCGUGGAGCUUAAAAUAAUAACCAACACCAGCAUUAGUAUGUUAUUUUGAGUUGGGGCGACUUCGGAGUAAAAUAAAACCUCCGAGCACAGAACCACCACUUCUAACCUAAGGCCUACAAGCCUAAGUAAAAAAUGACCCGGCCAUGCCGAUCAACGAACCAAGUUACCCCGGGGAUAACAGCGCUAUCUUCUUCAAGAGUCCCCAUCAACAAGAAGGUUUACGACCUCGAUGUUGGAUCAGGACACCCAAAUGGUGCAGCCGCUAUUAAAGGUUCGUUUGUUCAACGAUUAACAGUCCUACGUGAUCUGA